CUCUGUUUUGCGGUGCGUUUGUGUUAAUUGUUUAUUUUAUUUAUUAAAACCCUCACUCCCUGAACUUGCUUCCCGACUCUCAGCGCACUCGUUACACUGGUAUUAAAUCAUGUUAGGGUAUCCAUUUGUGUUUUUUUAUUGUAGAUCCCCAGUAUGGCUGAAAAUAUGAAUGUGUCACCUAUAUCCAGCCUUGCAGGCCUUGUUGAACAGGUGGUGUCUUCUAAUCUAGAGGAACCUAACCUUUCAACCACAAUAGCAGGUUAUGUUGUGGAGAAAUGUGGCUGCAACAAAAAAUGGAUUCUGAAGACCUCAAUGGGAUUAACAAAAAUGUGUAACUAGGUGGGCAGUGGUGGUGACACAGCAUGGUUAUGCUGGUCAUGGUGCUUCUGAUGGUGGCUGCUCACUCUCUGGGAAUGCGAUCUUCUACCCUACCAUUUACUCCACGUGCCCAGAUGCUCAACUGGAACACACAGCAAUUGGCCUGUUCAAAGCAUAAGCGAAUGAUGUGGUGGGGAACUUCAUGUUCUGCUGGCCCUUCAUCAGCCUGGUUGUUUUAUGGGGGGGAAGGCCCACACCCUGGGCUACCAGAGCUGGACACAUGUACAGAUCUUUGAGAAGAAGGAUAUUUUCAGCAGCCUCAACAUCAGUCAAAACUUCAACAGCAGUUGAAGAGACCAGCUUUAAUACCCACUAAAUUCAGCCCAGCACCUCAGCAAUAUACCAGUGACCUCUCCAUUGCUGCUCAAAGAGCAUCUGUACUUUUCUGUUUUACUGCCCCCACAUUCCACAAUGAUGUUCCGUCACAAUUACAAGGAGUCUCAGCCCUUUAAACUGGAUUACAGCUUUUGUACACUGUUUCUGGGUUUGCUCAUGCAUACCUCCCUGUCUGUGCUCUUUGUUUCAGUGGUUGUACGAGAAGAGUCAUUGUUCCCUAGCAUGCGCAUGGAGCAGCAAUUUGAUCUGGAGGACUUCCUCAAUGCUAGCAAAGUGUUGCUCAAUUUGACAUUGUCAUAUUUCAUUUUGUUUCCUGUUAAAACAAAUAAAAUCCCCCUAAUGCACUGUUACUACUGUAGCCUAUCUUUGAUUACAGUAUAUUGGCAUUGAAUG